GAUGAACGCUGGCGGCGUGCCUAAUACAUGCAAGUCGAGCGAACAGACGAGGAGCUUGCUCCUCUGACGUUAGCGGCGGACGGGUGAGUAACACGUGGAUAACCUACCUAUAAGACUGGGAUAACUUCGGGAAACCGGAGCUAAUACCGGAUAACAUGUUGAACCGCAUGGUUCAACAGUGAAAGACGGUUUUGCUGUCACUUAUAGAUGGAUCCGCGCCGCAUUAGCUAGUUGGUAAGGUAACGGCUUACCAAGGCAACGAUGCGUAGCCGACCUGAGAGGAUGAUCGGCCACACUGGAACUGAGACACGGUCCAGACUCCUACGGGAGGCAGCAGUAGGGAAUCUUCCGCAAUGGGCGAAAGCCUGACGGAGCAACGCCGCGUGAGUGAAGAAGGUCUUCGGAUCGUAAAACUCUGUUAUUAGGGAAGAACAAAUGUGUAAGUAACUAUGCACGUCUUGACGGUACCUAAUCAGAAAGCCACGGCUAACUACGUG
rnacentral:rRNA from 1 species